rnacentral:lncRNA from 1 species
GUAUUCCUCUAUAGCAACACAGACUAAUACAAAUAAUAUACAUUGUUACCUAUGAAGAGGAAAGAAUAUGCUAGUGGGGCAUAGAGAUUUAACAAAUAUGCAUGUGAAAAAACAAAGUAAGUAAUGAAUAAAUAAGAAAGGGGUUCUGCAUGAACCAAAGAACUGAGUCCCACUAAUUGAGGAGUAUAAUUGCCUUACCCUUCUCCAAUGGAGACACAAAAACAAAAGAAGAAAAGAGAUGAAGCUGUAUAUGUCUCUUUCAAGCUUCAGGCCCACCCACCUCUUCCUAGUUUUAUCUCUUUAGGCCAUUUAAACAUCUCCUUGUUAGAUAAUUAGGUAACCCCAGAGGCUGUUCUGAUGAUUACCUGAAUUAAUGUAUAAAGACAUCUGUCACUGAGUAUAUACUCAAAUACUGGUUUCCUCUUCCUCAUUUUAAUAUUUUCUUUUUCAUCUGCCUUUCACCUAGUAGUUCUUUAUUUGAAAUCUUUCAAAACCCUUCACCAUUGUGUUCAUUCUCCCCUGUUUUUUUCUUUCUCUUUUGAAGUAUGGUCACCUUAGUACCCUACUGAAAGUAUGUUUCUGAUGCGUCCCUCUUCUGGAGAUGGCACAUCUGUGAAUGCAGGCUGGGAAGACAUGGGUGGUUUCAGCAGCCACGUCGCCACCCACCCAGCCUCCAUCCCUACCCUGGAAAUCUAUCGUGUAACUCUGCUGCUAAAGCCCUUUCUCUCCUAUCCUCUCUUGCUUUCUCCCCUGUGUCCACACCGGAGCUGUCUUUGUCAAAGGUAGUGUGUACUUUUACUUUUGGCUGCUGAAAUAUUGUUCUCACUUUGAGAUCAAUUGCCUUAAAGUGCUUUGUUAACCCCUCAAACGGGAAAUCGCAGCACUUUCUCCAAAGGGACAAUUUUCUGUAGAAGAAGCUAUUUAAAUAGCAGCACAAGAUUGAAGACAACACAUUUAACUGUGAAAAGGUCAUCCUCAGUAGUCUUAAGAAUAAGGUGGGUUUUGUUUUUUUUUUUCUGUUCUGUAUGUUGAACUGGUUUAGAAAACUCCAGAUUCUUGUUAACUUUGACAAUUGGAAAAGCCAUUAAGGGAUGAUUACAAGACCUUCCAUCUAUAGGCACUUGUUAAUUAUCUGCAUCCUGCAGGGAAGAGAAUGAAGUUGGGAGGAAAAGGGAACAAAGAACAGGGAAAAAAGAACAGAGAGAAAUCAGCUGCAGAACUCCAACUUGAAGUCCUCUCAUCAGCAUUGGCUUCUUGUUUUUCUGCAGAGCGAACUUUUCAUGAAAUUUGAGUCCUGAGGUGCCUCUUUGUCCUUUCAGACUCACUAUCUGCUCUUUCUGCCUUUUUAACUCCCCCGAGGGUAGAUGGGCAGGCUGCUCUCCUGUGACACAGUGCCAUUUUUUAGAGUUAAUUCUUAUGUCUUUUGCUUCCUUUCAGGAAAAUGUUCAUUGCUUGACAUUGUAACAGGCUCCUUAAAUACCUGUGAAAGGGUAAAGUUCACUAAAACAGAAUCCAUUGCUUCUGGUUGAAUAGCAAUAAUACUUGAUUCAAAAUCUUAACCUUCCAACUAUUAAAAUGUUAAAUGUAAACAGACUCUUAUGUUGCCUUAAAUAAAUGCCUUCCUUAAAAAACAAAAACAAAAACAACUGUUUCUCAAAUUAAUUUUCCCAGAUUCAUAGAUUUCUCUCCUUAACCUGAUAAUUGGCCAAACAGUAUUUACUCCUAAAUACUGUUUCUAAAUUCUUGUGUUCAGCGCACUGGGAUGCAUGAGGGUAUAUUUUUUAAGGCACAAAGAAAAUUUGUUUGCCUGUGAUCUCACUAAUAGGUGUUUAUUGCCCUCCUGGAGCCACAGUUGCUGUGUCAUCUCAAGGCUGGAAUUCUGGAUGAAGAGGAGGAGCUUUUUUGGGGUAGAACCUGAAGGAUGGGGAUGGGGCAUUCAUUUAUUCAUAAAAUUAUAUGCUCUCCUUGGACAUAUAGAAAAAAUCGUGUAUGGCAGAUGAACCUGACAGCAAUAACAUAAGUGUAUCCCAAGAAUGACACUGUAUGGCAGAUGAACCUGACAGCAACAAGUUAAGCAUACCCUGAGAAUGACCAUAUGGUCUAAGAAGAAUGCAUAUUCAGAGUUGGGAGCUACAGAAUCUGGGUGUGGCCAACCUGGAGAUUCAUUCCUUGUCUAUGAGGGACAUCUGAGCCUUCAGCCCAUCCUGUGGAAUGCAGGCAAUACAGGGGACCAAGGCCCAUUGUUUUAGAUUAAAUGAAGAUUUCCAAGUGGAGGUUGCUAAGUGAAAAUGCUGUAUAAAUUGCAUGCUUUUAAUAAGUGGUUGCAGUUCUCCUCUCCAGCCCACUGCCACUGGACCACCCCUGUAUGUAAGUUUCCUCAACAAACCCUAUGUAUUCUUCACUGGCUCUAGGUCUCUUCUUGGGCCUCUUAAACAUGGUGCGGUUUCUGCUGAAGUCAUAGGGGUCCAGCAUGUCAAAGCGUCAAAUCAGCAUUGUAAUCUAAAGACUUUUCUCACCCAAUCCUAUUCCACAUCCCUACUCCCACCUUGCUUUUUGCCUCUACAGUCACAAUAAAGCUCUCCCA